AGUGAACGCUGGCGGUAGGCCUAACACAUGCAAGUCGAACGGCAGCACAGUAAGAGCUUGCUCUUACGGGUGGCGAGUGGCGGACGGGUGAGGAAUACAUCGGAAUCUACUUUUUCGUGGGGGAUAACGUAGGGAAACUUACGCUAAUACCGCAUACGACCUACGGGUGAAAGCAGGGGAUCUUCGGACCUUUCGCGAUUGAAUGAGCCGAUGUCGGAUUAGCUAGUUGGCGGGGUAAAGGCCCACCAAGGCGACGAUCCGUAGCUGGUCUGAGAGGAUGAUCAGCCACACUGGAACUGAGACACGGUCCAGACUCCUACGGGAGGCAGCAGUGGGGAAUAUUGGACAAGGGGCGCAAGCCUGAUCCAGCCAUACCGCGUGGGUGAAGAAGGCCUUCGGGUUGGAAAGCCAUUUUGUUGGGAAAGAAAAGCAGCAGGUUAAUACCCCGCUGUUCUGACGGUACCCAAAGAAUAAGCACCGGCUAACUUCGUG
rnacentral:rRNA from 1 species